GCAGGACGGCGUGGGGCGGCGCCGGCCCCGCCGCGCCUUCCCCGUCGGCGGCCCCGGCGAGCGGCGGUGGUACAGUCCGAGACAGCCCCCGGCUAUAAAUAGCGCCAGGCGCAUGGCUCUUCGGGAGGCGCUGAGAUUCCGGGCCCGGCGGCCGCGGGGAGCGGGUGCCCGUUAGGAACGGGGCUGCUGGCCUCCUCUUUGCCUUUUGGGGGUUCUUUUUGUAAUAGCAGCAGACUAGAAAAAGCGAGUCGGCUUGGAGGGAGUCCGCCCAGCGAUCCGAGUGCGCAUUGAUCAGUGUCGAGAGAAAAAAAGCUACAUAAAUAUAUAUUAUGUGGAUAAAUCUGUAGACAAGAGCUCUCUGGCGCGCGCUCUCUUUCUCUCCGUGUCUCCCUGCUUUUUUCCUCCUCGAAUCCCCAACCUGCCAGAGCAGCCCCAAAUCUUCGCCCUCCCGCACGGCAUCUGCCGCCACCCGAGCCACCUGGGAG